UUGAUCCUGGCUCAGGAUGAACGCUAGCGGGAGGCUUAACACAUGCAAGUCGAGGGGUAAAUGGCACCAAUGCUAUGAGACCGGCGGACGGGUGCGUAACGCGUAUGCAACAUACCUUGUGCAGGGGGAUAGCCCGUGGAAACGCGGAUUAAUAUUCCAUAGUCCAGCUAUAUCGCAUGGUAUAGUUGGUAAAGAUUUAUCGGCACAAGUUUGGCAUGCGUCUGAUUAGCGUGUUGG
rnacentral:rRNA from 1 species